rnacentral:rRNA from 1 species
GAUGAACGCUAGCGGCAGGCCUAAUACAUGCAAGUCAAGGGGAUAGCAAUAUCACCGGCGGACGGGUGCGUAACGCGUACACAACGUGCCCAAGGGCGGAGGAAAGCGGCGGGAAACUGCCGGUAAUACUCCAUGGUGUUGUUGAGUGGCAUCACUUAACAACUGAAGUACAAGCGCCCUUGGAUCGGUGUGCGUUCGAUUAGCUAGUUGGCGGGGUAACGCCCACAAGGCUUCGAUCGAUAGGGGGGUNUGAGAGCAUGACCCCCCCANACGGGUACUGAGACACGGACCCGACUCCUACGGGAGGCAGCAGUAAGGAAUUUUGGACAAUGGGCGCAAGCCUGAUCCAGCCAUGCCGCGUGUCUGAAGAAGGCCUCGGUUGUAAGGAC